GACGAACGCUGGCGGCGUGCUUAACACAUGCAAGUCGAGCGGUAAGGCUCCUUCGGGGGUACACGAGCGGCGAACGGGUGAGUAACACGUGAGUAAUCUGCCCCUGGAUCUGGGCUAAGCAUUCGAAAGGGUGUCUAAUACCGGAUAUGACCAUCCUCCGCAUGGGGGGGUUGUGGAAAGUUUUUUCGGCUGGGGAUGUGCUCGCGGCCUAUCAGCUUGUUGGUGGGGUAAUGGCCUACCAAGGCUUUGACGGGUAACCGGCCUGAGAGGGUGACCGGUCACACUGGGACUGAGACACGGCCCAGACUCCUACGGGAGGCAGCAGUGGGGAAUAUUGGACAAUGGGCGGAAGCCUGAUCCAGCAACGCCGCGUGAGGGAUGACGGCCUUCGGGUUGUAAACCUCUUUCAGCGAGGACGAAGCGUGAGUGACGGUACUCGCAGAAGAAGGACCGGCCAACUACGUGCCAGCCGCCGCCGUAA
rnacentral:rRNA from 1 species